AGAACGAACGCUGGCGGCAUGCCUAAUACAUGCAAGUCGAACGAACUCUUCGGAGUUAGUGGCGCACGGGUGCGUAACGCGUGGGAAUCUGCCCCUUGGUUCGGAAUAACAGUUGGAAACGACUGCUAAUACCGGAUGAUGACGAAAGUCCAAAGAUUUAUCGCCAAGGGAUGAGCCCGCGUAGGAUUAGCUAGUUGGUGAGGUAAAGGCUCACCAAGGCAACGAUCCUUAGCUGGUCUGAGAGGAUGAUCAGCCACACUGGGACUGAGACACGGCCCAGACUCCUACGGGAGGCAGCAGUAGGGAAUAUUGGACAAGUGGGCGAAAGCCUGAUCCAGCAAAUCGCCGCGUGAGUG
rnacentral:rRNA from 1 species